GGACCCGCACAAGCGGUGGAUGAUGUGGAUUAAUUCGAUGCAACGCGAAGAACCUUACCUGGUCUUGACAUGUACGGAAUCUUUUAGAGAUAGAAGAGUGCCUUCGGGAACCGUAACACAGGUGCUGCAUGGCUGUCGUCAGCUCGUGUCGUGAGAUGUUGGGUUAAGUCCCGCAACGAGCGCAACCCUUGUCAUUAGUUGCUAGCAUUAAGUUGAGCACUCUAAUGAGACUGCCGGUGAUAAACCGGAGGAAGGUGGGGAUGAUGUCAAGUCCUCAUGGCCCUUAUGACCAGGGCUUCACACGUCAUACGAAUGGUAGGUACAGAGAGUAGCCAAGCCGCGAGGUGGAGCCAAUCUCAGAAAGCCUAUCGUAGUCCGGAUUGUAGUCUGCAACUCGACUACAUGAAGUCGGGAAUCGCUAGUAAUCGCAGAUCAGCAUGCUG
rnacentral:rRNA from 1 species